GCAAAUUUUAUUUAUUUUUAUUUUUCCAAAACUAUUAAUGGCGCAUCAGGGCAUAGUGCGCCAUUAAUAGUUUUAACUAGUAAUGACGCACCACACGCUCGAUGCGCCACUACUGACAAUUUUUUUUAUUUUUUUUUCCAAAAGUAGUAAUGGCGCACUUGGGCGAAGUGCUCCAUUACUAGCUCAAACUAGUAAUGGCGCACCACACCCACGGUGCGCCACUACUGAGAAUUAGUUUUAUGCUAUUCUUAAGAUAAGAUUUGAAGUGAUGACACCAGCCUUAUCCUUUGUGAAUUUAUUAGGCAAAUGAGGAUUGAAAUUCUGCCAAGAAAUCUCAGAGUAGAAGAUGUUUGCAAGGGACUUGGGAGACGAGGCAAUGCUGCACAGGCGAGAAAAUGGCAAUUUGGAGAAAUUCGUGGUUACCACCAGUCUCGAGUUAGAUUUAUUUCAAUUGCAACCAGGCAGAGUGUUGUGAAUUUGAAUUUGGGUGUGCAUGAUCUUACUAGCUUCUAAUUCUACGGAGCCAUACGGAUGAUGGUGUGUUUGCUCUCACACAUUUAUUCAAAGGAUCAUUGUGAUGAAUGAUACCAAUUCUAGGUUGCUGGAACUUGCAUCCAAUCCUUCUAUUCCCAACUGAUGAGUUUAUAGGUUGCAGUGUUUGUGGUGGUCUCCUCCUGAUGGAGCUCAGUAUAUGCCCUUCUUGUUUACCUAAAAAUCUCUUCUCUCCUAAGAUCUUGUAGGAAUCUUUCUUUUUUCCUUAAGAAGCAUGCUACCAAUGGACGCCAGAUGUUCCAGCACCGAAAAGUUGGUGACCAUGCUUGGGUGUUUCAGAAUUCAUAUGAAAAGCAUUUAUUUUUUACUUUCAGGGAUUGCUCCAUCUUGCAGUUUCUAAUAUGGCUGGACAAUUACGAUUUCACAUAUAUCUGAAAAACCACAGCCCAUCUGUGUUCUAUAAACGUUGGUGUGGUCUUAUGUGCACCAAGAAUUCUGUCAUUAACAUAAGGUAUUUUACACCCGCACUGCAAACUGUUGAUAAAUCUGAUGUGUUGCUUGCACUGAGAAUUCUUACAUUUGCGUAAGGUAUUUUACACUGGCGUUGUGAACUCAUUGACAAUUAGCAUUCAUCAGCUAAGCACACCUCGAUGUACGCAGCCUGUAUAUUAACAUGUCUUUAGAAAUGAGUAUAUCCAGUGUUUC